rnacentral:rRNA from 1 species
GUGUAACAACUCACCUGCCGAAUGAACUAGCCCUGAAAAUGGAUGGCGCUGAAGCGAGUGACCUAUACGUGGACAUUGGCGCAAGUGGAAAACGUGCCAAUGAGUAGGAGGGCGUGGAGCUUGUGACGCAGCCCAGGUCGUGAGGCCGGGUGAAACGGGCUCUAGUGCAGAUCUUGGUGGUAGUAGGAAUUAUUCAAAUGAGAACUUUGA